rnacentral:lncRNA from 10 species
AAAAACUAAACAAUUUGUUAUAAAACAUCCUUAAAAGCAUCAGAAAGUUAAUACAGCAAUGAAGAAUUACAGGACCAAAUUAAGAAUGGUAUGGAAGCCUGUUUGUGAGGCUUAUGUUUGGGUAAUCUCUUUACUUAGAGUGACUGUAAAUCUCAAAAGAGGAUUAAACGGAGAAAUAACCAUAUCAACUCACAUGUUGCUGUCACCUAUAUGAUCUCAGUAUUUUAAAAAUCAGCUUCCAGCCCAUAUGGUGAUUCAUGCUUAUAAUACCAGCAGUUGAAGAGGCUGAAAUGAGAGGAUUCUUUGAGCCCAGGAGUUCAAAAGAAACCUGGGCAACAUAGCAAGACCCAGUCUCUAUCAAAAGUUAAAAAAAAAAAAAGUGGGCAUGGUGAUGUGCACCUGUUGUCCUAGCUAUUUGUGAGGCCAAGGUGGAAGGAUUGCUUGAGCUUGGGAGGCUGAGGCUGCAAUGAGCAGUGAUUGCACCACUGCACUCCAUCCUGGGCACCAAAGCAAGACCCUAUCUCAAAAAAUAUAUAUCAUAAAAAUAAAAAUCAGCUCUCAUUGAUUUCUAUGUAAAUAUGCACAGGUGAUGUCCAUAUAGACAUAAAUAAUAAUAUUUCUGACAAUGGGUCCAUAUGACCUUCAAAAUGUACAAUGCCUAUCUGUGUAAUUGGUUAGUCUCAUUAAUGAAUGUAGAUUCAAUUCUACUUUCUUGUUCUAGAUAAAUUAUAUAAUCUAGCUUUUCAUUUCACUUAUUUACUGAUAACAACAGGAAGAAUGACAAGAUAGCUAUUUUGGAAAAUUACUCUGGUAGGAGUAAAGAUGAAACAAUGAUAGAAUUGCACGGAAAACUAGAAAAAAAGUAUGGUCUUCUGAUAUUCUAUCACAUCACAUACUAAAGGCCUCAUAAGACUCAGAUAUUUUAUCUAAAAAUGUUAUUUUCAUCUUAGGAAUGAUCAAAGCAUGAGACUACAAUUGUAUUAAAAUGUGCUUGUAUCACAAGCACAUGUGCUAAAAAGGAGGGGAAAACAUCACUACUGAUAUUUUAAACGUAUGUUUUACUUUUCAUCAACAUGAACCUCAACUUGAUAUUAUGCAGAUUGAAGGAAAUCACCCAUAAUUCCAUAUGAAGAAGGCCUGUGAUAUUUUAUGGGAAAAUAAAUAGAGAAAAUGCUAACAGCAACCCUAUUAAGCAUGAAGCUUUAUGGAGCAAACACAAAUCCAGUGGUGAAAGAUACACAUUCGAGUUCUGUUUGUUGUCUUGGAACAAUGCAGUUUAGAGGUGACUGGCG